UCACACAGAGGCUGUGUAGCAGCUUCCCUUCACCUUCCUCUGCCAUCCUGCCAUGGGAUGAACCAGCACAGCAUAAACCAGCAGGCAUAAACCAACAAGCCUCCCAGUCAGGAACCCAUUGGAGAGUCCUGCUGGAAAAUGCCUGUGAGCUGCAGGAGGACCCUGCACAGAGACCCAAAGAGAAAUGAGCACAAGGACAGGCACUUGCUGUUCCCACAUCUGUAUGGCCAUAGUUCUCAGCCAUCACACCACCCAUUUAAGAAGAGAUCUUUCUGGGUCCAGGCUGCAUGAAGCAUUAGCAACCCUCUGACUCUCAGCCACCUGUAAGCGUAGUCUCCAUGAGAAGAUCAGUGAUGCAGAAUCGAAAGGCAAACCUGGAGCUGGACUCAAAUGAUCCUUGUGGUCCCUUGCAACUUGAGUUAUUCUAUGAUUCCAUGAAUUUGUAAUUUCAUCAGACAUAGCAGCACUGCAUCUUCCAUCUUCUUGACCUUGUGGUUUCAAGAGGGAUCUAUACCACUGUUGAAACUAUAUAACUUUCCACCCCUUUCUUGCCAGCUGCUCUGCUAUUGUCUUUUUCUUACCAGAAUAAGUAACUUCCACUUUAUAACAAGCCAAAUCCCCAUUAAAAGCAUGAACUGAUCAAUGUGAAGUAAUUUAAGGAAGCUAUUGCGAGGAAGACAUUACAAAUUAUACCUUUUACAUUGGCUGAACAAACCUUUCAAUGGGCAUCACAAUGAACGUCAGGUUCUUUCCCUUGCUUUAGAUGUAGAGGAAAGAAAAGAACAAUCACACAGUGUUAAGAAAAGCAACCUGGCAAGGAAUCAUGGUAUCUUAUGCUCUUGUGUAACGUCUAAGUGUUUUCAGCAGACUACAGUUGAACCUGCCCCAAGUAAAUCAGAGCUAUGAGUAUGGAUUCCUCUGUCAGCAUAA